rnacentral:lncRNA from 1 species
UUUGAAGGCAAUGGCGGAGAUGACUAAUGACGAAAAGGCUACGCUGGAUUAUAUCGGAGAGAAUUAUUAUCAAGACUCUGUGACAAUUGUUAACAGAGGGAUUGAAAUGUUCUACCAAAAAGUCUUGACAAUUCUUACUUGUCUUGACCUUUCCAACAAUAGUUUCCAUGGGAGAAUACCAGAAGAGAUACAAAUGCUGAGGUCACUCAGACUGAUGAACUUAUCCAACAAUGGCUUUUCUGGUGAAAUCCCAUUAGCACUUGAAAAUCUAAAAGAUCUUGAAUCUUUGGAUCUCUCACAGAAUGAGCUGUCAGGGAAGAUUCCUGCACAACUUACAAGUUUAAUUUUCUUAGCAGCAUUGAACUUGUCUUACAACCAACUCGAAGGGAGCAUACCACAAAGCAACCAAUUCAAUACAUUUACAAAUGAUUCCUACCGUGGGAACCCAAAAUUGUGUGGGCUGCCAUUGUCAAGGAAAUGCAAUGAAGUUGGUCUUCCAAUGCCACCACCUCCAGGGGAAAAUGAAGAUUCAUGGUUAUAUGCUCUGUGUACUUGGAAAAUUGCGUUGAUAGGUUAUGCUAGUGGAUUAGUGGUUGGGCUAUGUAUUGGAUAUACAGUGCUGAAUGAGUUGGGAAACAAAUGGGUUAACAAGUUCAAAAAGUGUGGGAUAAGAAAUAGAAGAAGAUGUAGGUGACUCCAUCAGAAUUCUUGCUUCAAAAUUAGCUGGUAAGCGUUUGUCUUUCUAAUUUGAACAGAUAGUUGUUGAUUUAUAUAUAUGGGUUUUCAUAACCUCAUUUUUUGCUGUCUUUACUAAGUUCACUAUCAUAUCGUGCUUGUAAUUUGAUGUUACCAUUGAGCAAUGCAGGAGGUACUUGAAGCAGGACAUGGAAUGUACAGUUGUGAGGUUCAUGAAGAAUGUAGGCAAUGAUCCUAACAAGAUCAAUCCACUGGUUUGUAAUUUUGCUUUAUAUGCACUUUUUUCCUUUUGUAGUUUUCCACGAGUAUAAGUAAGUGUUUAUUCAUUUUGCAUCCAGGUCCCUGUGGAUUUGGGGGAUGCAAUGUUUCACUGCUACUGAAUUUCCAUGCUAAUAAUGAUAUUAUAAACAAGGAUAUGGCUGCCCAAGCUUUCUUUUAUAUGCAAUUUACUUUUACUUCAAUUAUUUUAUCUUCGGAAUAUUUGUACAGCUGAGGAGAUUUAAUGGCAUGAUGUUGAUGGAAGCCAUAUCUGGUGGACAUUGGAUGGAUUGUGUAAAGAGACGCAGAUGCUGCUACUCCCAUCCUUUGCUCUUCCAAACAGAUAUUAGCUUUAUAUUUUAUCAAUCACGUGUUGGGCUUUAGGACCGGGUGUAAAGGGUGGACCUGUUGGUCUGGGUUUUAGUUCAGCCGGACACUUAUUUUCAUACUAGUUUGUUUAUCCUUUCAAUGAUAGUUAUAUUAAUUUCAAAAAACUUUUGAAAUUGAAAUUAAUUUUUUCAAAGAAUCGAAAAAUUGUUAAUAAUAUAAGAUAUCUUGUCAGUCUCAUUUGUCUUUGAUAAUUUCAAUUAAAUCUAUAGAAAUUUUAAUGUGAAAAUUUAAAUAAGUUUCUUUCAAAGAAAUUGCUAAGAAGAGAAAAACUGUAAACAUUUUAUCAUCAAAAUUUCCGCUACUUGUGCCCAUCAAUCCAUCUUAACUACCUAAGAAACUUGCUAAACAUUGUUUUCAUGGGGUAAAAAAGAUUUAGAUAUUUGCAUGCAGUGCCAAAAGGCUGAGACUAAGUCCAAUAAUAUCUCAUUCCAUAAAUUUCUAUUGAUUCCAUACACUUUAAGUUCAUUGAAAAGUCAUCAAAGUUAUGAGAAAAUUUAGUUUUUGAGCCAUUAAUUUAUCUCAACCAGCUAAAAAAAUUCACCACAAUUCCAUUUUUUUUUAUUAGUUGACUAAAAUAAAAUUAGUGGUACAACAUUAUUUUGAUGCAGUAGUGAUCGGGCUUAGUCCAAAAUUAAAAAUAAUGUAUGGAAAGUACUAAUUUGUGUAUAAAUAAGUUGUAUGGAAACAAUCCUCCUUCACAGCCAGCAAACAUGAAAGCCAUAUCUGAUGGACAUUGUACUGAUUGUGUAAAGAGACAACUGCUGCUGCUUCUCCCACCUUUUGCUGACACAUUGGGUUUUUAUUUUAUCAAACACAUGUUGGGUUUUGGUACAGCCUCGCACUUAUUUUGUACCAAUCGAAGUUUCGCAAAAAUUGUGUGGUCAUCAUAAUUUCCACUCCAUAUAUUCCCAUCAAUCCAUCUAAACCAGCUAACACAAAUGCUUUAUUUUUGUGUUUAUAAUGACUUGACUUAAACAAAGUGGUAAACCAUUGUUUUCAUAUGGUAAGGAUCGGGCAAAGACUUAGACAUUUGCAUGCAAUGCCAAAUCUUGAAUUUAGAGUUGAGCCCAUAAUUUGGGGUGUUGGAUUUAAUUAAACCCGUUGGUAGAUCAUAACAUAUUUAUAAGUUGGAUACUACUUAAUAAUUAGGAUUUAGGAGUACUCAUUAUUGGGUAAAAAGACUUGAACAUUAGCUUGCAUGCCAAAGAAAAAAAACCUUAAUUUCUAAAACACAUUUCAUCUUAUCCUUCAGCAAAUUAUCUCCGUCUCAUUUAUUUUUGAUGAUUUUUUAUGAGUGUUUAAUCGAAUCAAGUAAAAUUUUUUUGAGUUAACUGAACUGAUGAGUCCUAUUUAUCAUCCUAACUUGAUUUGACAUUUUUUCGAAUUGAGUCGAGUGAAAUGAAAUUCGAGUCAAAUUGAAUCGAGUGAAAUUAUUCAAGUUCAAUUAAAAAAUUAAAUAUAUCAAAUUAAAAUCUUGUUAUAGGAUAAUUAAUUUAAUGUUAGGACACAUAAAUUUAAAACUAUAUACAUUUGAAAACUUUUUCAAAACAAAAUAAUAAUAAAAAUUCUUACAAUUGAAAAAAUAUAUAUAAUUUAAAAUUUUUAUAAAUAUUUUGAAUUUUAAAAAUUAUUUUGAAAUAUUAGCAGGUAAGCAUUAGUCUAAUUAAGCAUUAGUCUUUCUAAUUUGAAAAGAUAGUUGUUGAAAAAUAAAUUUCUCUAUCAUAUCCUACUUGUAGCAUUGACAUUCAUUUUCCAUAUUCUAUUGUAAUUUUAUGUUUCAUUUAGCAAUGCAGGACAUGGAAUAUCCAGUCAGGAGGUACGUUAUCUUUGAGGAAAAUGGUAAUUAGUUCCUUAUGACUACAAGCAUUUUUCAAUCACGUUUUAUGCUUUAGGUCCGGGUGUAAAGGGUGAACUCGUUGGUCCGGGUUUUAGUGCAGCUUGACACUUGUUUUUAUAUUAGUCUAUUUAUCCUUUCAAUGACAGUCUUAUUACAUUAAAAAUUAUCGUUCAAUUAAGCUUUGUAUGUAAUAAUAUGAUAAUAAUAAUUAAAAUAUAAUGAAAGAAUUUUUGUGUUACAAUCUAGUAUGUUUUUAUAUUAGUCUAUUUAUCCUUUCAAUGAUAGUCUUAUUACGUUAAAAAUUACUGUUCAAUUACACUUUGUAUGUAAUAAUAUGAUAAUAAUAAUUAAAAUAUAAUGAAAGAAUUUUUGUGUUACAAUCUAGUAUGUUUUCCAAUGUUAGCCAAAGUCCAACACUAUGUCACACUAUUAUUACAAUGUACACAUACUUUUUAGGGAAAUUUAUCCAAUGAAACAGAGCAUUAAACUAGUUUCCCAGAUGCAGGGAAGAAUUGGAAUGCCACAAUACUAUGAAAAUGAUUAAGAAAAAUACUAAUAACAAAAAAAAAAAAAUGGUAAUGGAAUCACAGUAAUUGAAAUGACGAAGAAGGGUGUUUACCUGGAUUAUCAGCGACGAAUCUAAUGGUUGCCCAUCCAUUCACAGGCACUCCAACAGUGUUCCUCACAGGUGGAUCAACAAGGCUGAAUUUAGAAAUAUCCUUUUUAGGAUCGAAGUUCUUUAAACGUUGUGCAAUGAUAUAGAAAUCGUAUACAUGAAGAUGAAUUGGAUGAUUCUCGGGUGUCACUAUGCUUUUGUCUUGGAGCACAAUUUUGUACCCUAAAAAUGUUGGUAUGGGUUAGAGGUGAGAGAGGUGACUGAGAUGAAGAUGAUGAUGUUGAUGCUGAUGCUGAUGUGGUUGGUGGUGGCAAUGAUGAAGGUGAGUGAAGAAUGUUCAGUGAUGGAGGAUGCCUCCAGAGUGCUGGGAGCCGAAAGUGUUAGAAGAAAAAUGGUGGAAAAAGAGCCCCCGGUUAGAAGCUUUGCUACAAUUAAAAUUGAGUUAAAUUGAAUUUACCACAAAAUGCUGAUUUGUAUCCCGAUAAAAUUUGGUGUCUACGUAAAAAAAAAAUUAAAAUAUAAUGAAAGAAAUGAUGCCUUGCAAUGUGGUGUGCUUUUUAGUGUUAGUAAACAAUCUAAAACACUAGAAAAUUGGAAGUGACUUUAGAUUUAAAAAAGAAAAAAAAUCCAUAUUUUAGAUUAAAAAAGAAAUUCCUUUACUUUUUUAUGAAUUGACUAAAAUGAAGUGGUAGAAACAUUAUUUUCAUGCAGUAGUGAUCGGGAUAAGAUUAAGAUUAAUAAUAUUUUAUUCUUAUACUAAGACUUAGAAAUUUGCUUGCAAUGCCAAAUAUUAAAACUAAGACUAAGGCCAACAAUAUAUUUUACUAUUAUUUAGUUAAAAGUUUUUGAAGUUUAGAGAUAAAUUUAGAAUGCAACAUAUAAUUUGGGGUGUUAAAUUUAAUUAAACCCUUUAAUAGAUCAUAGCAUAUUUAUAAGUUUGGUACUGCUUCAUAAAUUAGGACAUAAAAGUACUCAUUAAUAAAUUAAUUUCGUAUAUAAAUUAAUUCUUUUGGGUGUUAUACCAAAUUUAAUUUAAAAUUUUUAAUAGUAAUUUUUAUUAAAAAUUAAAUUAUGUAAGAAUAAUUAUAUAUAAUCUAUAUACCUAUAUAUAAAAAUUGGUUUCCACCUUCUUUCUUUUUAAUUUACAUUUUACAAAAAAAAUUAAAAUUAAAAUUUAGUUUCUUUAAUAUGCCUAAAUUUGAGAUUUAAUCUAUACUUUAUUCUUUAACAUAAUUUAGGCACUAUAUUUUUAUAAUGUAAUAGAUUAGUCCUUACACGUGGCACAUCCAACCAUUUUUGCUGUCCUUUCCUUUAUCCUUUUUUUUUUAAUUUUACAAUAAAAUGUUAAAUUUCAGUUUCAAUCCCUCUAAUAUGUCUAAAUUUGAGAUUUAAUCUAUAUACUUUAAUCUUUAACAUAAUUUGGGCCCUACAUCUUUAAAUGUUAUUAAUUAGUCCAAAUUAUUAAUAUGAUUAACUUUUCGGUGAAACAUUACGUGGUUAUUGAUAGUUUGCAUACAUAAGAGUCUUAGAGACUGACACAUUACUUUCCAUUUCUUUUAGGUUUGCAUCACUUUUUUGUAAGCUAUACUAAAACUUAAUAUUUAAUCUAUAUAUUUAAUUUUUGAUAUAAUUUAGUUCAUCUACUUUUAUAAUGUAAUUAGCUAGUCAAAAUAGUUAAUGUUGUUGGUUAUUUCUAUCAACAUGCUAAUGUCAAUUUUUCUUAAAAACAAUAUGCUUCUGAUAGGAUUUUUUUUAUCGCGGCGAUGUGAAUGAGUGUUGUUAAGGAAAAGUCUUUAUAAAAUAUUUUAAAAGUUAUUUUUAUUGUUACAUGACUACCAAUUGAUUUUUUUUUUAAAUUUCAAAAUAUCACCUCAGAGAAUUUAAUAGAAGAAUUUUAAUGAUAGUAUAAUUGAAUCAAAAAUUUUAAAUUUUAAAAGUAGAAAAUCAUAUUUCUAAAAAUAAAAAUAGAGAAGCUAAAUUCUAAAUGUACAAAAUAGAGAGAAUUAAAAUAUAUUUUAACCUUCAAAUAUUUUACUCUAUAAUUAUAUAUUUUUACUCUAUAAUUCUCACUUCCACUUUAUCUUUGUUAAUUUCCUACUUAUUUCUAUUUUUUAUUUUGCUUAUGAAUCUAAACAGAGAAAAAAAAAGGACAAAAAAAAGAAAGAAAUGAAUAGUAUGAAUUAAAAUUUGAGAUUUGAUCCCUAUUAAAAAUUAAAAAUUUAUUGUUUCUAUUUUUUUAAUUUAAAAAUCAUAGAUAAAUCCUUCUACACGUAAUUUAAAAUUUUUGUGCAUUCAAUCAUCAGAAUUUCCACUCCUUGUGUCCAUCGGUUCAUCUCAAAUCACCUAAGAAACUUGCUAUAAUUUGUCUUUAUAAUGACUUAAACAAAUCGGUUGAACAUUGAUUUCAUGCAGUAGUGGUCCACCAAGAAGACUUAGGGUAGUUUUGGAUAGGUGGUGUAUUUAUUUGCUGUUAGUCUAAAAACAACGGUGACGGUAAGAUUAGAUACUAUAAUGAUACUGUAACAUGAGAUAAAAAAUAAGCUAAACGCACCGCACCGCCCAUCCAAAUCCACCCUUAGACAUUAACAUGCAUGCCAAAACAAUUAAGACUAAGGCUAAUAAAAUCUCAUAUUAUCAUUUUCUUUGUUAGUCCAAAAUAAAAAAAUAUUAAAAAAAUUUAAGUUAGACAAUUAUUGAUAAUUUAAGGACUUAAUUGAAAUAUUUUAAAAUUUAGGUAUUAAUUUAUAAUUUAAUCCAUUAUUCAGGGGAAAAGAUCAGAACCUUGGAAUAUUAUUCAUAUAGAAUAAAGAUGCAGAAAAAAGAAUGGUCUUCAUUUCUUUCGUUCUUUAUCAUUUUAAUUAACUUUAAGGAAGCUUCAAAGUAAAAAUUUAAAUAUGUUUCUUCCCAAGAAAUUAUAUUAACAACUUAAUGUAAAUAAUGAUUUGAAUAUUGGAAUUAAAUAUUAAGUAAAAUAAUAAUGUUGUAUUGAAACUACAAAUUUAUGUAUAAAUGUGUUGCAUGAAAACCAUCCUCCUUCAUACCCAAUCAACAUGAAGACUCUUCAGUCCAUUGCUUCACUUUUUCUACCUUUCUUCUUUCUCUUCUCAUCCUUUCUUUCUCAAACUCAUCUCCUAAUGCAGUGCCUUAAUAAAUAAGUUGUAUGCCAAACACAAUCCUCCUUCACACCCAUCCAACAUGAACACUUUUCGUUUCCUUAUUUCACUAUUUCUCUUCUCAUGCUUCUUUCCUCCUCUCUUGUCUUUUUUACCUCUUCAAACUAAUCUCCCAAAUGCUGCAAUUGCAACAUCAUCUUUACUAUGCCCCUAAUUUUACUUUCUCUUCCAAAUUUGAGCUCUGUGAUGUCAACACUGAUUGUUGUUCUUGGGAAGGAGUCACUUGUGAUGCUUAUGGUCAUGUCGUUGGCAUUGAUCUUAGUUACAAAAACCUUUCCAGUAUCUUCCACUCAAUAUUCGAUCUCCAUCAUCUUCAACACCUGAAUCUUGUUGAAAAUAACUUUAAUACCACUUUGCAUUCUUAUGGGUUUGUGUUAAAGUUGGCCUGCAUGCAGCCAAGAAGCAGAGAAGCAACCCGAGCCAUGAAUGUUGCAGUUGAAGAUGGUGCUGCUGUUUUUGUUUAGUUUUGUUACUUUAAUUAACAUUUUGUAACUUAGUUAGAUUCAAACCAAGUUGUUAAUGUACUUGAUGUAAUUUGUCAAUGCUUUGAGCUGAUAAAUUAGCUUCACUAAGUGUGCAAGUUAUGUUUCAUUAGUUUCAAGGUUACUUAGUGGUAGUAGGUAAUGUUUAGGUAACAAUUUACUUAUUUUUAACUAGCUUAUGUCUGGUAUAUGUAUUGGCAUUAUGCCAUCUUUCAAUGUUAAUGAAAAUUCAUCAAAAUUCAUCAUAAAAUUCCCUUUUCUUGCUUUCUUUUGUCUUUCAAGCCUGGUUAUAUUUUGUUUGCUCAGCAAGUAUCGAGCCUUCAAGCUCAAGAAACUGCUAACUUCAUUCAUUUCACAUUCUUAGUUCCAACAAUUGGUAUCUAGAGCUCAUCUUCUAAGUGGACAUGUCAUUUUUCAUUCCUCAAAACUAUGUCUUCUUCAGGUUCUCUCCAGCUGCACCAACAGUCUUCAAUGGAGAAUGCUACCACAUUUGGGUAGUAAAGAUGAAAACCUACUUGCAGGCAUUCAACUUAUGGGAAGUGGUUAACUCGGAUGUUGAACCAGCACCUCUAAGAGUCAAUCCCACAGUGGCUCAGAUCAGGCAGCACAUAGAUGAAAGAACUAAGAGAUACAAGGCCAUGUCUUGCAUCCAAAACAGUGUGUCUGAUGUGAUUUUCACAAGUAUCAUGGUUUGUGAGUCACCAAAACUGGCCUGGGAUAGGCUGAAGGAGGAGUUUCAAGGGACUGAAAGAACGAGAUAGCAAAAAUUAGUGAAUUUGAUAAGGGACUUUGAAAUUUUGAAGAUGAAGGAAGAAGAAAUAGUGAGGCAAUAUUCAGAUAGAAUCAUGGUUGUUGUGAACAGCAUCAAAUUGCUUGGGGACCAGUUUAGUGAAGCAAGAAUUAUAUAGAAGGUUAUCUCAACCUUGCCUGAAAGAUAUGAGGCCAAGAUCUCAUCCCUUGAAGACUCGAGAGAUCUGAUUAGCAUCUCAUUGACUAAGCUGAUCAAUGCUCUUUAUGCUUAAGAGCAAAGAAGAGCCAUCAAACAAGAAGAGCAUAAAAAAUGUGCAUUCCAAGCUAAAAGUAGAUUUACCUCGAGCUCCUCUAGCUAUAAAGGGAAGAAGACCUAGCAAGAAUGCCUAAAAGAGAUGGAGUAAGAAGAAGAUAUCCACCUUGCCCACAUUACAAAAAGCUUAGUCAUCAGGGAGAAAACUGUUGGUUCAGGUUUGAUGUGCAGUGCAAAGUCUGCAAAAAGAUGGGUCAUGCUGAGAAAGUUUGCAGAAACAAAGGCAAGCUGAGACGAAACCAACCUCAAUAGCCAAGAGCUAAAUCUCAAAUGGCAGAAGAAGGUAAUGACUAAGAAGAGUAAGUCUUUGUUGUUUCAUGCUCAGCUGCCAAAAGAAAAGCCACAAAAGAAUGGCUGAUAGACAGUGGUUGCACAAACCACAUGACUCCUAAUGCUGCUAUUUUCAAGACCUUAGACAGAACCUUCAACACAAGGGUGAAAGUUGGUAAUGGACACUUCAUCAAAGUAGAAGGCAAAGGAGAUGUGCUGAUUAACACUCCUACAAGUAUCAAACUUGUUUCAAAUCUUUUGUUUGUGCUUGAAAUUGACAGAAAUCUACUUAGUAUAGCUCAGUUGCUAGAAAAGGACUAUUCAAUAGUGCUCAAAGGCAAAGAAUGCCUGAUCAGUGAUCCAUAUAGAUCGAAACUCAUGUCAGUGACCAUGGCUGACAGAAGUUUUGUUAUGGACUGGAACAAGGGUUCAGACAGUGCCUAUACAGCUGCUUUGGAUGAAUCCAAGCUGUGGCAUAAAAGGCUAGGCCAUGUCAACUACAAGUCACUGGCUCAGCUAACCAAAGAAGACUUGGUUGAAAACUUCUCCAAAUUAGUUGAGAAAGAAGAAGUGUAUGAAGUGUGUCAGCUAGGAAAGUGAGCUAGACUGCCAUUUCCUUUGAACAAGGCUAAGAGAGCCUCUGAAAAGUUGCAACUAGUCCACACUGAUGUGUGUGGCCAUAUGAAGACACAAUCUUUGAAUGACAGCAGGUAUUUUAUCCUUUUCAUUGAUGACUACUCAAGAUAUUAUUGGAUUUACUUCCUAAAGGACAAAUCAGAAGUAGCCUUAAUAUUCUGGAAGUUCAAGGCUGUAGUAGAAACAGAAACAGGUUACAAGCUAAAGACAUUAAGGUCAGAUAAUGGGACAGAGUAUACCUCAACUAUGUUUCAGGGCUUUUGUGAUGAAGCAAGCAUCAAGCACCAAUUCACCAACACCUACACACCUCAACAGGAUGGUGUUAGUGAAAGAAAGAAUAGAAGCUUGAUGGAUAGGGCAAGAUGUCUGUUGUUUGAGAGAAAUUUGCCCAAAACCUUGUGGGUUGAGGUAGUUAACACUGUUGUAUAUCUUCAAAAUAGGUUACCAACCAAGGCAUUGGUUCAUAAAACUCUAUUCGAGGCCUAGUUUAGGUUCAAACCAUCAGUUGCUUACCUGAGGGUCUUUGGAUGCAUAUGCUAUGCACAUGUCCCGGAAGUAAAAAGAGAUAAGUUGGCCAAGAAGGCUCAACCUGGCAUCCUGGUGGGCUAUAGCAGUGUCAAGAAAGGCUAUAGGGUCUUGGCCCCUUCAUCCAAUAAAGUUUUUGUGAGCAAAGAUGUAGUAUUUGAUGAGAAGUGAGGCCGGAACUGGGAUAAAAAUAAACCAGAGACUGCUACUGAAGACCUGGUGACAAAUCAAACUGAAGCUGAUCGAAAUGAUCCUAAAAUGGGCAUUGAUGAUGUGCCAGUUAGAGGAACCAGACCAUUGGCUAAAAUAUAUGAGAGGGCUGAUGUGGCUGCUAUUAAACCAAAUUGCUUUGAAGAGGCUGAAGCUCAACAAGGUUGGAAACAUGCAAUGCUUGAUGAAAUGAGCAUGAUUCACAAGAAUAAGACCUGGGAGCUCGUUGCAAGACCAGCCAACAAGAAGGUUAUAGGAGUGAAGUGGGUGUUUCGAGCCAAGCAUAAAGCUGAUGGAACUUUGAACAAGCUGAAAGCAAGAUUAGUAGUGAAGGGAUUCAGUCAAAGGUAUGGCAUUGAUUAACUUGAAACAUUUGCACCUGUGGCCAAGUUUGACACAAUUAGACUGCUGGUUGCCUUGGCUGCACUGAAUCAUUGGAAGAUUCAUCAACUCGAUGUAAAAUCUGCCUUCCUCAAUGGUUUUCUUGAUGAUGAGAUAUAUGUUGAACAAUCUGAAGGUUUCAUAAAAAAAUAUUAUAGUUUUUACAUAAUAUAAAUUUUAGAAUUUUUAUGAAUAUUUUGAUUUUAAAAAUUAUUUAAUUUUUUUUGUAAUUUUUGUUAAGAGAGAUUAAUUUGUUAAUUUUUAAAAUUGACAGGAAUCAAAGGAGUAUAUAUAUCAAUCUGUUGUUUGAAUUAUUUGAGUUAUUUAAAUUAUAAAAUUUAACUCAAAUCUCAAAUUAUUAAUAUUUUUAAUAAUAUAAAACAUUAAAAAUAUUAAAAUUAAAUAAAAAAAUUAAAUAAUAAUAUAGAAAUGAAAAUAUUUCUCAUGCUCUAAGAAAGUUUGAAAGCUGAAAUUUAAAUAUGUUUCUUUCAAAAGUGAAAAAUUCUAUAUAUUCUAUCAUCAAAAUUUCCACUCAUUGUGUCCAUCAAUUUAUAAGGUGACUUGACUUGUACACAUUGGUUGAACGUUGUUUUUGUGCAAUAAAAACUUGGACAUUUGCAUGCAAUGCCAAAGACUUAAGACUUAAAAGGUCUAUAAUAUUUCAUACUACCAUUUUUUCUGGUCCUAAAUUAAAGAUUUUAAAAAUUCCAAAUUAAAAUGUUACUCAUAAUUUGAGAACUUAAUUAAAGCAUUGUAAAGUUUAUGUGUCAAUUUAAAAUUCGAUGUAUAAUUUUGCGAUGUAAGGUGAAUUAACCCGUUUGAUAAAUCAUUACAUAUUUACAAGUUGGAUACUCAUUAACAAAUUGAUUUUAUAUUAUAAGUUAAAAUUUAUAUUUUUGGUGCUAUAACAAAAUUUACUUAAAAAAUUAAAUUGUAAUUUUUUUAUUUUAAAAAAAUUAAAUGAUGUAGAAAUAAUUAUAUAUAACAUAAAAAUGAUAAAAUUUACCUAAGUUUAAAAUAAUUUAAAGUUAAAAUAUUUGUAUCAUGGAUUUUUUUUUCUAAAAAGUCGAUACCUAAAAUAUAUAAUUUAAACUCAAAAUAUCGGUUGAAUUAUCAUCUUUGCGUAGUAAUGGUUCCAAUAGGGUUUAAAGUGCUAUAAUUUAAUCUUUUUUAAUGACUUAGAUUUAGACGAUUAUUUAUAUAGAGUAAGGAGUGGGCAAGAAAAUGACAACCUUGGCAUUAAUAAAUUAAUGAGAUCGAUAAAAUAUUAAAAUCUCGUUCUUGAAAAUUAAAAUUAACAAAAAAGAAAGACGUAAGGCAAAUUAAGUGUGGAUUUAACAACUUAUUUCUAAUACUAACAAUAAGUAAUUUAUGCAUCAUAAGUAAUUUAUGCAUCAUGACUAACAGCUUUAAAUAAUACUUGAUGGAGUCUUGAUUUGGCAAAAUGACUUAGAAAUUGCAUGCAAUGCCAAUCACUCAUAAACUGUAACGACCCAAAAUCCGUGGGCAGUGGAAAAGUAUACUAUCGGGCCUCUAUCUUAGUAAACCGAGUUAGUAAAUAAUUAUUAGGAGUAAGUAUGAGUUUAGUUGAGUGCUUAAUUAGGUAUUAAUUAGGUGAAUUUAGUCUAAUUAAGAAUAAUUAGAAAAAAGGAUCAAAUCGAAUAAAGAGUGAAAGUCUAAUUAUAGAUUAAAAGAAAGUAAAAAGGACUAAAAUGAAAUUAAGCCAUUUACAUGAAAAGAGGCGACAUAUAUGCAUUAAAUCCAAGAUUUUAUUUAUAAAUAUUAUAUGUAUAUAAUUGUUAUAAUAAUUAUUAUUUAUUCAAAUUGUAAUUUAUAUUAAUUAUAUUAUUAUAUUAUAGAAUAAAUUAAAAUUAAGACAAGUGUUUGGUGAUAAGAUGGUACAAGUGUAAUAAUAUAUAUAUAUACACUUGUAUUAUAAUUAUUAUUUACUUAAAAUUUAAGUAAAAGAUAUUAAUUAAUUAAAUAAUUAUAUUAUUAGAUUUUUAUUUGAUAAACAAAUUAAAUAGUGACAAUUGUAUGAUAUUGAUGGUGUACAAAUGUGAAUAAAUGAUUGAAUAUUUAAUAGAUAUUUAGAAUAAAAUAUAUAUAUAUUAUUAUAAUAUAAAGUAAAUAAAAGAAAAUAAAAUAAAAGAAAGCAAAUGAAAUAAAAAGAAACAAAAGAAGAACAUAAUAGAAACAGAGAAAGAGACGAAAACAGGGGAAGAAAAGGGAAAGAAAAGAAAAGGGGAAAAUUGGGAUUUUAAAGCUUCAAGUUUAAUUGGUUAGCUAAAUUUAGCAUUUUUCUCUUAAUUUUGAUGUUUUAGAAGCUUUAAAACAAAGUUUUGUUGAAAUUAAGUUGAGGUUUUGGAAGUUUAUAAGUUUAGAGAGCAUGGUUCAUGUUGGACAAUUUGUUAAAUUAGGGAUUUAAUUGAAUGAAUUUCAAGUUAGAAUUGAUAAAAGGAUUAAAUUGUGAAGUAAGUUAUAAUUUUAUAUUGUAGGGACUAAAUUGAGGAAAAUUCAAAAUUAGAAAAAUAUGCUGAAAUUUUAAUAAUUAAAUUUGAGUUUGGAUGAAAUUUGAAUAGAAAAAGAGUGUGAAUUGAAUUAGAAAAGUAAGUAAACUUAGUUAAGAUUAAAUUUAGAAUAAGGUAAGAAUUGAUUAAAAAAUUAAUUAAUUAUUUUAAUUUAAUGUUGUAAUUAAUAGCGAAAAUUAUUAUUAUUUUCGUAGCUAACAAAGAACCCGAGACAUCGGCAUCAAAAGGAAAGGAGAAAGCUAUCGAGGAUUAAAUCGGGAGAUUUACGAUUUGUAUUACUAUAAUUCAAAUUAUUUAUUACUUAUUAUUAAAUUAAAAUUAUUUGUAUGGUAAGUGAAUAAUAAGGUAAGUGACUUAUUUAUAUUGAAUUUGGAAAAUUAAAUUGAAAUGAGAAAAGUAUGUUUCGGUAAUAAAUUGUGUUUUGAAUAGUGAAUGGAAAAGUAUAAUUGAGACCGAUACUGAACUGAAUUAUGAAAUACUGAAUAUUGUUUGAAUACUGAAUUGAACUGUGAAAUUACGGAAGUAAUGAAUUAUUGCAAUACUGUGAAACUGAUUGAAAUAAGGAAUUUUAAUUAAUACUAAACUAAAAUGGAAAUUAUACUGAAAAGUGAAUUAAAUACCCUAUUAACUAGUCGGGCUAGUCGGAUAUAGUUGGCAUGCCAUAGGAUAUGGAAGAGUACGGGGUAUUUGCUGGCUUACUGAUCAGGCACUUAUUGUAAUAACCCGAUUCUAGGCCUAGUCGGAGCAGUGGUUUCGAGACCACAAAUCCGACGAGGGAAAAAUUAUUAUAUUUUUAUGGUCUACAAUUUCAAGAAAAAUUGUUGUAAAAAUUUCGUUCGAAAAUUUUGACGUUUGGGCACUCAAUUUAAUCAAAAGGACUAAAUUGUAAAAAGUGCAAAAGUUGAGUUCUACAUCUUAGAGGUGUCUAAUUGUUAUGAAAUUUUAAAUUGAAGGUCUUUAUGUGGUAACUAGACCAUUAGUUAGUUGAUGGACAAAAAUGAGCAUAGAAUUAGUGAAAAAGAUUUUUUUAAGUAAGGGCAUUUUAGUCAUUUGGUAAUUAAAUAGAAUUAAAUGGGUGAAAGAUGACAAAAUAUGCUCAUCUUCUUCAUGGUGAAUGAAAUCAGUAAGGGGGAAAGCCAUAUUUAGGGUUUUUAAGCUUCCAAGCUCCAUAAUCAAGAAAGAUGUGAAGACCACCUUAAACGGGAAAAAGAAAAGGUCGAGGAGUAAAUCACAAAAUCAAAAUAUUUUGUUCCGAGGUAAGUAUGCAUGUGAUUUAAUGUAUUAUUUUAAUGUUAUUUUAUAUAUAUUGCUGGGAUUUGAUUGAAAAUGGAACGAAUACUCGAUAUAGACUCUAAAAUGUGGUUAAAUUGGAAGGUAGUAAAGCGUUGAAAAUCAAAGUUUCCGGUUGAACACUCGGAAUAAGCCGGGAUACAUUGAACAUAAAAGGGGGUUUCUAAGUGUUGAUUCCCCAAAUCAUCGGUGGUUGCUAAGUGCUGAUUCCACCGUGUCUUCGAAUAUGAAAGGGGUUGCUAAGUGCUGAUUCCCCAAAUCAUCGUGCUGAUUCUCCAAAUCAUUGGUGGUUGCUAAGUGUUGAUUCCACCGUAACGGAUUGUAUAAGGGGUUGCUAAGUGCUGAUUUCCCGAAUCAUUGGUGGUUGCUAAGUGCUGAUUCCACCAUAUUUUUGAAUGUGCAAAAGGAGGUUGCUAAGUGCUGAUUCCCCCAAGGGGUUGCUAAGUGCUAAUUCCCCGACUCACUUGUGGUUGCUACGUGCUGAAUCCACCAAAUAACGGUUAAUAUUCUGAGUGUUCAACAGGAAAAUUGGAAGGGUGAUUGAACAUGUAAAUUAAAUAUGAUUGUGUGGGGAAUAUUGGGUUUGAUAUUUAAUCAACCCAUGUGUAAGAUGAAUGGAAGUAUCAAAACUACAAAAGAGCAAGUUGGUCACAAACAGCUUAAAACAACAACAGUUGGGUAACUUGGAAAAUUCACCAUAAAUGGUGGAAUUUGAAUUAGAGGUUGGGUAAUAUAUGAAAUUGAAGCUGAAUGAGUCUAUUUUCAUAUGAAAGAAUCAUAGCAAGCAAAAGAGUUAUAUAUUUUGAAAUAUUUAAAUUUUAGUGAGACAGGGCUGAAUUGCUUUUGAGAUCCCCUGUUCCAACUUUGGAAAAUCACCAAAAAUUGUAAAAAAAUAAUUGUGGGUUGAAAUUUAUAUACUUAAAUUUCUUCAUUAAGUCUAUUUUCUGUAGAAAUAAACAAGAACCUUAUAUGAAUUUUGCACAGAGAGUAUAGAUUUUAGUAAAGGGUGGUCAGAGCUGUCGAGCAGUGAAAAGGGGAAGGUUUGAAGAAUAAAAUGUACUAAUUUCCAAAACCAAAAAUUCUGAAAAUUUUAUGGUAGAAAGGUAUAUGAGUAUAGUUUCAGAUAAAAUUUACAGAACUCAAUUUGGAGCUCUGUAGCUCCAGAUAAAAAUAAAUUAGUGACUGUGAUGCAGAAAAACAGGUUGCUGGAAAUUGAGCAAACAAUGAAAUUUAUGAAUGAUUAAAAUUAUAUCACUUUGUAAUAUUAUGAGAAAUUUAUUAAUUUUUCAUGUGGUUACUUACUAAGCUAUAUGCUUACUCUUCUUUAUUUUUCUCUUGAUUAUAGUGAUAACAAUCUGCCUGAAGUUGGACGAAGUCAGAAAUCAUCCACACUAUCGUCAUCUCUCGGGGUAUUUUGUAAUCAAUACUUUUGAAACAUGGCAUGUAUAGAUGACUUAAUUUAAUAUGAUAUAAAUAUGUUUGUAAAAUAUUGUUCGGUUAAAAAUGUUGGUGUUUAUUAUUGAAUAAAUUGUGUAUGCAUAUAUAAUACUGUAAUUGGUUGAAAUAUUAAGAUCGUUUGAAAUUGUUCUUUGAAAAUUUGCAGGAGGUUUUAUGUAAAAAUAAGCAGAAAUGCUGCCGAAAUUUUACAAAAAAAAAUAGUAAUACCUCGUGCUCUAUUCCAUCAAGGAAUACGGGUAAGGGGUGUUUCACUUAUGUGCCGACUACUGUUACUGUUACCGAUUCGGCACUUUGUGUGUCGAAUACUGUUACCAUUACUGUUACCGAUUCGGCACUUUGUGUGUCGAAUAUUGCUACUGUUACUGGUUACUGUUUAUUAGUGUGUUUGGUUGGAAUCCGUGUAUCCGCCGAGUCCGAGUUAAGUUAAUAGGGAUAAAUGAAAUAAAUUUACUGAUAAAACCAAUCUCGAAUGAUAUAGUAUAUGUGAAAAAUGAAAAUUGAAAUAAAGAAAUAAGAAUGAUAUUUAUAUAUAAGAUUAAUUGAUAAUAUAAAAAGAUCGAAUUGUUUAUUAGUAGUGAUGAUUGUAAUGAAAAAGUAUGUGUGUGAUUUAAUGUAUUUAAUUGUAAAUUGAAUUAUAGUGAUACCACUGAGUAUGAAAUACUCAGCGUACAGUUGUUUCUGUGCGCAGGUCGAUAGAAGUCAAAGGUUCCGUUUCAGCAUCCGAAGCCAGACCCGACUUCAGCAAAUUUUGGUGAUGAAUAUUUUCUUUGGUAAUGUGGCAUGUACAUAGGAUGGGUAUAAAAGUUAUUAUGUUUUGAAUAUAAAUGGUUAAAAAUGUUAGAAUUAUAAGUCUAAGAAUUAUAAUGAAAGAAGUUUAUCCAUUUCAAUUUAAUUAGUACGUUGAUAAAUUUAAAUUGAUAUUAUAUUGAUUGAGUUUGGUUAGAAGGUAUUUAGAAUAGAAUGAGAAUGUGAAAUGAAUUGGUUGAAUUGGUUAUGUUUGGAAAUGAUACAGUUUUAAUUGCAGGAGGUUUUAUGUAAAAAUAAGCAGAAGUGCUGUCGAAAUUUAUAAUAAUAAAAAAAAGAAAAAAAAAGAGAAAAAUUCGGAGUACUUAAACGAGUCCCAUUCAUUAUUAAUACAUGUUUUAGCCUUCGAAAGUUCAUUACAAGGACUUAGUUAUUCAAUUAUAUUACAAAUGUUAUUUUAUUUAUAAAUUAUUCGUAAGUUGUCUGAUAUGUUCGGUAAUGCCUCGUAAUCCUGUUCCGGUGACGGUUCGGGGUUAGAGGGUGUUACAUAAACAUUUUUCUAUGGAAAAUACACACUUGUGUAUAAAUAAGUCGUAUGCCAAACACAAUCCUCCUUCACACCCACCCAACAUGAACACUCUUCAUUCCCUUAUUUCACUCUUUCUCUUCUCAUGCUUCCUUCCUCUUCUCUUGUCUUUUUCACCUCCUCAAACUCAUCUCCCAAUGCAAUGCCUUGAUGACCAGAGAUCUCCUCUGCUGCAAUUGCAACAUCAUCUUUACUAUGCCCCUCAUUUUACUUUCUCUUCCAAAUUUGAGCUUUGGCACCCCAACACUGAUUGUUGCUCUUGGGAAGGAGUCACUUGUGAUGCUUAUGGUCAUGUCGUUGGCAUUGAUCUUAGUUACAAAAACCUUUCAGGCAGCUUUCACCCCAUAUUCAAUCUCCAUCGUCUUCAACGCCUUAAUCUUGUUGGAAACAACUUUAAUACCACUCUGUUUUCGUAUGGGUUUGAUAAACUCCAAAAUCUAACUCAUCUCAAUCUUUCAAGCUCAUGUUUCCAUGGCCAAAUUCCAGUGGAGAUCUCAUUCUUAAAAAAUUUAGUCUCUCUUGAUCUAUCCAAUCAAGAUUCUUGUUAUUUGAGAUAUUACAAAGUUCUUGUUGAAAGCUGGACUGCAAAGCAACAUGUGGCCAGCAGCAUGGUUGGCUGUCGAGCUUGGUGAUAAUGCUUGGUGUGCAAGACUGAAGCUGAACCAGAUGAAGCAAUCAACUUUGGAUGUUUUGUUCUUUUGUAAUUUAGUUUAGUUCAACUUUAACUAGUUUCCAAAGUUAGUUGGAUUAAGUUUGUGAUUGGAUUGAUGAUGUAAAAGCUGGUAUGUCAGCUUAUUUUGUAUUUGACUUAAGCUUGUAUUAGUUUAGUUUAAGUGGGAGCAGUUAUGUCAUUAGGUAACUGUCAAAUGAAUCAAAUUUGUAACUCUUUUAUAUAUUCAAAUUUUGAAUGAAAAAAAAAGGUGAAUGUUCAGUUACAAUUUGCUGAGUAUUCAAUUUUGUUCACUGUUUUUUGCUUUGCUUUGAUUUCUUUUGCUUCGAUACUUCUUGCUUCAGUUUUGCAAAUUCUGUUUUGCAACUUUGUUUUCUUUUUGCUGCUGCCAUUGUUCCAACAAAUGGUAUCAUGAGCCCGAGUCUUUGAGGGGCCUUUGUAUGCAAUCUGCAGCCACUUCAAUUAAAGAAUCCAAACUUCAAGACAUUAAUCAAGAAUUUGAGGUUUCUCACAGAGCUUUAUUUGGAUAGUGUGGACAUUUCAACUCAAAGUGCUAAAUGGUGUGAAACCACAUCUCUUAUACUUCCAAACCUGCAUGUGUUGAGUCUGUCAAGCUGUAGUUUGAAAGGUCCAUUAUGUUCUUCACUCUCAAGACUCUCUUUUCUUUCCAAACUUAUCCUUGAUUGGAACCCAAUCUCUUAUUUACCUCCCAAUUUCUUGGAAAUUUCCUCUCGUUUGGUUUCUCUCAGUUUGAGGAACUGCAAUUUGAGUGGCCAUUUUCCAAUUGAAAAUCUCUUAUCGCCAAAAAUUCAAAGCAUUGACAUUUCAUUCAACUUCCAACUUAUGGGUUAGUUGCCAGAAUUUCCAGCAAACAAUGCAUUAUUGAGUCUGUCACUUUUUGAGACAAAUUUCAGUGGAAAACUACCCCAAUCAAUUGGUAAUCUCAAGUUCUUGACUAAUUUAGAGCUUGAUGAUUGCAAUUUUUUUGGACCCAUUCCAUCGUCAAUUGCAAAUCUUAGUCACCUGGUCAACCUAGAUCUGGGAGGGAACAAGCUUUCUGGAUCAAUACAUUCUUCUUUAUUUACUCUUCCAUCGUUGAAGACCUUGUAUCUUGGAGAAAAUCAAUUGGUUGGGAAAAUUGACGAGUUCCCCAAUGCAUCUUCUUCUUUGAUUCAAGAAUUAAGUAUAGGAAAUAAUUAUUUAAGAGGAGCAAUCCCAAAGUCAAUUCUUCAACUCCCAAGGCUUGAAUGGCUUUAUAUCGAAAGCAAUAGCUUUAGUUCUAUGAAGCUUGACAUGUUUGUCCAAGUCAACAACUUAAGGACUCUCUGGCUAAACAAUAUAAGCUUGUUAAUUGAAAGCGACAACAGAAGUCUUACUUUUCCCAAUUAGAGAGUCUAAGCCUAUGGUCAUGCAACCUUACUGAAUUUCCAGAAUUCAUUAAAAGGCAAGACAAGUUGGUUGACUUAGAUCUUUCUAACAAUCAUAUCCAUGGUGUUGUGCCUAAUUGGUUGUGGAAGAGCAGUCUUUCAUCCUUACACCUUCCUUUCAAUGUGAUUGAUUUUCCAAAACAGCUUCCCUUAAAUGAUGCAAACUUCUCAUUUCCAAUGUUGACAGAAUUGGAUUUGAGAUCCUGUAACAUAAGUGCGUUUCCAGAGUUCUUAAAGAGUGUUGGAACAAAGAGACAAUAACAGGCUGUUUGUAUCUUGCUUGAAUAGCAAGCCUCGAGCCUUGUUGAAGAAACAAACUCAGAAGCAAAACAGAAAAUGAAACUAGCAGGCGAAUAACAGAAAAGAGAGAAGAAGAAUGAAUGAAAAAUGAGCUGAUAUUUUUUUCAUUAACUCAAAACAAGGCAUUAAGCCAUUACAUAUUUCAGUCAACAAGUAAAACAAACAAGUAAUCACCUAAUCAACUACCUAACUCCACUAAUUUGCAUUGAAACUUACAAGAUUAGCUUGUACAACUUGCAUUGCUGACUUUUCAGUCAAUCAAUAUCAAAACAUUUACCUACUUAGUUCAACAUGAACUAGAUUACAAAACAAUCAAAAUGAAACCAAAACAGCAAGUGGAUUGGCAGCUUCAAACUUCAGUUGCUGCACACAAUGGCACCACUGUUUGCUGCUAUUUCUUCGAGCAUGACCACCUUUGCAUGUCGUGCAUGGCCACCUUUGCAUGGGAACUAAACUUAACAAAGAGUCUAGAAAAUUUAAUAUUUCUCGACCUUUCAAUUAAUAAAAUAAGUGGUGCAAUACCAAACUGGGUGUGGAAGAAAAGUUUGCGGUCUCUGUAUCUUGCUAAUAACCAUCUCUCAUCUUUGGACCAACUUUUACCCAAUCAGAGUUCAACUUCUUCACAAACCUCCUCGACUAGACCUAUUUGCAAUUUGAGUCAACUUAGAAAUUUCGAUGCAUCUCAUAACAAUUUGAGCGGCACGAUUCCAAAUUGCUUAGGCAAAAUGAAUGAUCUCCUAUUGUUGGAUCUGCAAGGAAAUAACUUCAGUGGAAUGUUACCAAAAUUUUCAAAAGCAACCCACUUAUAUAUUCUCAAAGUUAGUGAGAAUAGAUUGGAAGGGAAGUUGCCCAGAUCAUUAGCUGAAUACACUCAGCUUGAAGUUUUGGACGUGGGAAACAACAAGAUGAAUGAUACAUUCCCUUUUUGGUUGGAGAAAUUGCCUUACUUGACGGUUCUAAUAUUGCGGGAAAACAGAUUUUAUGGUCAAAUUAAACAUUUCAAACAUAAAUCUGUUUUCCCAACUUUGGAUGUAUUGGACAUUGCUUCAAACCAGUUUUCUGGUGAACUAUCCAUUGAUUUCCUUCAACCCACUCGACUAAGGUCACUCAAAAUAGGUGGGAAUAAAUUGGAAGGGAAGCUGUCGAGAUCAUUAGCCAAUUGCACAGCACUUGAGGUUCUGGACCUUGGAAAUAAUAUGGUUCAUGAUACAUUCCCAUUUUGGUUAGAGAAGCUGCCUUCCUUGAAGGUUGUCAUUUUGCGAGCAAACAAAUUCUACGGACCAAUUACAAAAUUCAACACAGAACGUGGGUUUCCAAAGCUACGCAUAUUGGACAUUGCUUCCAACAAUUUUUCAGGCGACUUGUCCAUUGAAUUUUUGCAAAGCUUGAAGGCAAUGAUGUAGUUAACAAAUGAGGACAAAGCUAAGCUGGAUUACAUUGGAGAGAAUUAUUAUCAAGAUUCAGUGACAAUUUUCAACAAAGGGAUUGAGCUGUUUUACGAGAAAAUCUUAAACACUCUUACUUGUUUGACCUUUCCAACAAUAGUUUCCAUGGGAGAAUACCAGAAGAAAUACAAAUGCUGAGGUCACUCAAAGUGCUAAACUUGUCCUAUAAUAGCUUGUCCGGUGAAAUCCCAGUAGCAGUUCAAAACCUAAAAGAUCUGGAGUCUUUGGAUCUCUCACAGAAUGAGCUAUCAGGGAAGAUUCCUCCACAGCUUACAACUCUAACUUUCCUAGAGGCACUGAACUUGUCUUACAACCCACUUGAAGGGAGCAUACCGCAAGGCAACCAAUUCAGUACAUUUUCAAAUGAUUCUUAUCGUGGGAAUCCAAAAUUAUGCGGUCAACCAUUGUCCAAGAAAUGCAAUGAAGACGGUCUUCCAGUGCCACCGCCUCCAGGGGAAGAGGAACAGUCAUGGUUAUAUGCUAUAUCAACUUGGAAAAUUGUUUUGAUAGGUUAUGGUAGUGGUUUGGUCGCUGGGCUAUGUAUCGGAUAUACAGUGUUGAAUGAGUUGGGAAACAAAUGGGUUGACAAGUUCAAAAAACAUGGGAAAAGAAACAGAAGAAGAUCUAGGUGACUGUGUCAGACUUCAUAUAUUAAAGUCAACAGGUAAACAUUUCCUUUUGAAACUAUAGUCUUUAUAUUUUGAAAAGAUUGAUGACGUUUCAAACUAAUUUUGGAUCAUAUAUACAACAUUACAAUUCCUUAAAUUAAGCAGCAGGAGUGGUGACACAGUGAUUUUGUUUUUCCUAUGCAAUAUUCCCAUAUUUGCAUGCUUAUGAGAAGUUAUAUUCUUGGUGGUUUGACUUGUAUUUCUUAUUUUGUCACAGGGAAAUGACCUCUGUCCUUAUAAGCUUCAAGUCAUUGCAUGUCAUUGGUGGCAAUGAAUCAUUUUAAGUAGAAAACCACGCAAAGUAUGAUAAUUUUUGUUUGGGUUUUUGUGCUAUAUAUUUUAUCAAACACAUGUUGGGCUUUAGGCUCGGGUGUAAUGGGUAGAUCUAUUGGUCCGGGUUUUAGUGCAGUCUGACAUUUGUUUUGUACAAAUAAUUUAUUUAUCUUUUAAUAACAGUUUUAUUACUUUAAAAAUAAGUAAAUAAAAUAUAAUGAAAAAUUAGAUAUCUUAAAAAUAUGGUCCGUUUUCCGGAGUUUACAAACAAUGUAAAACACUAUAAAUAUGAUAGCUUUUUCAAAUGAUUCUCCCAUUAUGAAACAUUUAACAGAAUUUGCAUAAAUGAAAUAUUUAUUUACAAGAAAUAAAAAUUAGCCAUGUUAUGCAUAUGAAAAACGUGAUAAUUUGCAAGUGAAAUGAGAAGCUUCAUAUUCUAAUUUUCAGGCCAACAGUCUGAGAAGAAAGCACAGAUUGGCAGAAUAAAGUUGAGAAAAGGAGAAGCAUAUGGCGAAAAGGUUAAUCCCAAAACCGAUAUGCUGCACUCGACGUUCUCUUACAUGUAGUUUGUAUCAUACGCGGAUGGUUGGAUCUUAUUAUUUUAGGAUUUAGUUUACCCAACCGUGAACUUCUGCUUUAAAUACAAUAAUCCUAUUCUAAAUUGGUAUUGGGAUUAGUCAAUUUAUUCUUUCAAUGAUAGUUUUAUUACUUUAAAAAAAUACCCUUCAAUUAAACAUUGUAUGUAAUAAUAUGAUAAUAAUAAUUAAAAUAUAAUGAAAGAAAUUAUGUCUUACAGUCUAGUAAAGGCCAACAAUGUGUCACACUAUCAUUACAAUGUACACAUACUUUGUAGAGAAAUUUAUCCAAUGAAACAGAGGAUGAAACCAGUUUCCCAGAUGCAGGGAAGAAUUGGUAUGCUACAAUAUUACUAAGAAAAAUACUAAUAACAAAAAAAUGGUAAUGGAAUCACCGUUGUUAGUUUUUAGUGUUUUUUUUUGAGGUAUUAUAUAUUUGUAUUUGACCUAUGUUUAUAAUGGUGACCAGACCUGUUAUUUAUAUUUUUGAGAUCCUAGGCGAAACAAUAAAUUAGGGUCUUGUUUAAAAAAUAUUAAAUGUAAUACAAUAAAACAAAAAAAAUAAGCCCUUUUAUUUUAUAUUUUUUUUUGCCUGCAAUAAAUCGAAAGACUUAAAAAGUUAAAAAUUUCAUGUUAAAAACUGGAAAAAGAAACUUUUUGAGCCCUAAACGGUCACACUCCAAAACUACUCUAAAGUCGGGUUGAAAACAACCCAACAAAUUCCAAUCAAAUCCCAAGCUCCAAAAUUGGAAUUAACAAAUGGAAAAACAAAAAGACGUUGGUAAAGCAAAGUAAGUGUGAAAGAUAUGAAGAGUAAGAAGAGAGUAUGAAAAUUUUGAAAAUUGUAAAUUAGGAUGACUUUAAAAUAUGGGGAAGAUUCAUGGGUUUGAAAUCAAUGAUUUUGCAGUUUCUCUUUGUUGAUUUGGUGGAUGUUUCCCACUACUUUUGCUUUUAAUGCUUCCCAUUAUAUACUUGGAAAUUGGGAUUACUUUUGCCACUCAUUUCUCAUGUUUGUUUGGCCAAUAAAGAUUAUUUGCAUAAAGCAACAAUGGGGCAAUAGGCUGCAAUAUUUCCACAUGCCUCUCAAACAUUUUACUCCAAUUUUAUGGAUUUUUUAUAUUUUUUUAAAAAAUUAACAUAUUUUUCUACCUUUCUUCUUUCUCUUCUCAUCCUCUCUUUCUCAAUCUCACCUCCCCGAAAAGAGCAAUGAAAGAAGCGACAAAAGGGUCCUUGGCUGUUUGUGAUGAUGCACUUACAUAUACUCACUUCUAUACGAUUCAUGUAAAUCCUUUCUAUAACUUAUUUCCUUGGAAGCAUUCCUCUGUUAGAGCAACUAAUCCAAAUUCUUAAAUCCAGAUACUGAAUUUUUUUUUUCUUUUCUCUCGAUUUUGUAGCAGGGGCCAAACUCCCCAAUGUCUUGGCUACCAAUCUUCUUUAAUUUAAUCGAACUCAUUUAUGGUAAGGAUGAGUUUUGGAAUGCUCUAUGAAUAUUGUGAGUUGAACAUGAGUAGCAUACUUGACAUGCAAAAUCUAAUAUCAAGAAUCUCCCUUGUGAGAUUCAUUUUUGCUUCAAUUCACAGCCAUUUGGGGUAUGUAAUUUGUCUCUAGCACUGAACUUUCAUGCCAAUAAUGCUAUAUUAUAAACAAGGGUCAUGGCUUUUCCAAGCCUUCUUUAAUAUGAAUUUACUCUUUAGUUCAGAAUUUUAUUUUCAAAUUAUUUUUGUGCAGCUUGGAAGAUAAUAUGAUGAGUUAGUGUUGAUGAAAGCCACAUUUAACAGAGUGAUUCUGCAAAGAGACACCACUGCUAGAUGUGCCUCUUUGAAACGGGACAAGCUCAAGCAAAGAUCGUUAACUUUAUCUUUGAAAACAAUGGUAAAAGUUUCUAACUAAUUAUCUUUUCCUUGACAUCUUCUUUAAUCAUGAUUGAAUUAAGUUUAAGCAUAUGAAAGACAUGACUGUUGGUAGAUAAAUGAGAAGCUUCAUAUUCUAAUUUUCAGGCUAAUGGUCUAAGAAGACAGUAAGGCGUGUUGAUUGCAGUUUGUUAUCUAUUCUAUGGAAAAGAAAACGUGCAUUGCCAACAUAAAGUACAGAAAGGAUAUGCAUAAGGUGCAAAGGCUUAUCACCGAAGCAAGUCUGCAUCUUGUUUAAGGUGGCUCAUGUUCUCUUACAUGUAAUUUGCAUGAAAUCGUAUUAUCUUAGGAUUAUACUGGAGUGCCACCAGCAGUUGACCUCACUGGCAUGUGAGACACUGUUAAGAAUCUUGACAAUGAUCUUAACAAGAUUAAUCCACUAGUUUGUAAUUUUCCCUCUAUAUUUUACCAGGAGUAUAUAACUUAUUUACUUCUAUAUCUUGCAAUUUAUGCAGCCCCUGAGCAUGGUAUAGCUUGGUGUUGGUAGACACAUCGUCCAAGAACUUACAAGAUGUUGAGAAAGCAUAGUGUCGGCAAAAUUUUUGAGUUUUAUGGUUAAGUCUAUGAUCAUAAAUCUUAACAACAGAAUGAUUUUACUAUAAACAAUUUCAGGUUUAUAGGACUUUAUCAUCAAUGUAACUAUUUUUAAUGUGGUUAUAGGAGAGGGUUUGGCUGAAUUAUCAUUAGCUAAUCAUGGUCGAGCCAUUAGGACUAAUAGCUUCAUCAUCAUCCUUUGCUGUGAUAUGACUCUGGCUUGAAUUUAAAGAAAAUAUGAAGUACUUAUAAUGAGAGAGAAAAUUACUUAGCUAAGAGAAGAAAUCAUUUACUUCAACCAAAUUAUCCCCGGUAGAAAUAAAAGCCAAAAGAAUUAAAUUCAUUCAAAACAAAAAUUGUAGGGAUUAGUUUUAUAAUUUUACUUAAAUUUUCAUUUCAACAGGAGGACGCAGGUUCGAGUACAUUGAAGUGCAUUAUCCUCUUAUUUAUGGGUUGGGGAGAGACUAUGGGUAGUUUUAAGGCAUUGUAUCAAAAUAAUAGAUUUAAUCAAAACCUAUAAUGUAAAAAGUUGCUACUAAAAAGUUUAAAAAAUAGAAUUUUUAGUUUCCUUUUGUUUAUUUAUUUAUUUUUUUCAUAAUAUCUUUUAUGUAUAUUUGAAGUGUUUUGGGUUUGAUUUUUAAUCAUUAUAAUCAAAAACCCAAUUUUGUACUAAUAAAUCACACCAUUGUUAGUUUUUAGUGUUAUCUUUUGAGGUAUUAUAUAUUUGUAUUUGACCUAUGUUUAUAAUGGUGAUCAGACCCGUUUUUGAUAUUUUUGAGACCCUAGGCGAAACAAUAAAUCAAGGUUUUGUUUAAAAAAUUAUUAAAUGUAAUACAAAAAUUAAAAAAAUUGAGCCUUUUUUAUUUUAUAUUUUUUCUGCCUGCAAUAAAUCGAAAGACUAAAAAAGUUAAAAAAAUUCACUUUAAAAAUAAAUAAAAAAAAAAACUUUUUGAGUUCUGGACGGCCACACUCUCAAACUACCUUAAAGUCAGGUUGACGGUGACUAGAAAACAACCCAACAAAUUCCAAUCAAAUCCCAAGCUCCAAAAUUGGAAUUAACAAAUAGAAAAACAAAAAGACGUUGGUAAAGCAAAGUAAGUGUGAAAGAUAUGAAGAGUAAGAAGAGAGUAUGAAAAAUUUGAAAAUUGUAAAUUAGGAUGACUUUAAAAUAUGGGGAAGAUUCAUGGGUUUGAAAUCAAUGAUUUUGCAGUUUCUCUUUGUUGAUUUGGUGGAUGUUUCCCACUACUUUUGCUUUUAAUGCUUCCCAUUAUAUACUUGGAAAUUGGGAUUACUUUUCCCACUCAUUUCUCAUGUUUGUUUGGCCAAUAAAAGAUUAAUUGCAUAAAGCAACAAUAGGGCAAUAGGCUGCAAUAUUUCCACAUGCCUCUCAAACAUUUUACUCCAAUUUUAUGUUUUUUUUUAAAUUAACAUAUUUUUAAAUUUUUAAAUUUGAUAUUUGAUCCAUAUACUUUAAAAGUUAAAAUUUCAAUUCUUCUACUUUUUUAAUUUAAAAAUCAUAAUCAAACCAUUAUCGUCGUUGAUAGUUUUUGUCAAAAUUUGUCAAUUUAAUAUGUUUAUUUCUAUCAAUCAUAUGUCACGUCAUAAGAUGACACGUUAAUCAAAAUUUUAAGUUAACAAGUUUUAUAAAAAAUACUUGCGAUUUAAUGAUUGCACUGAGAUUUUUAACUUUCUAACUUUUUAAAUAUAUGAACUAAAUCUUAAAAUAUUUAAUAAUAGAAAAUAUAAAAAAUAUUAAAAUUAAAUAAUAAUAUAGAAAUGAAAUUUUUUCUUCAAAUUUCUCAUCCAAAUACAGUCUAGAAAAGUUUUAAAGAUGAAAUUUAAAUAUAUGUUUGUUUCAAAAGUGGAAAAUUCUAUAUAUUGGAUCAUCAAAAUUUUCACUUAUUGUGUCCAUCAAUCUAGCUAAGACUUAACUUGUACACAAUAGUUCAACGUUGUUUUUGUCCAUUAUUAAUUACUUGGACAUUUGCAUACAAUGCCAAAUACUUAAUACUUAAGGCCUAUAAUAUUUCCACACUAUCAUUUUUGGUCCAAAAUUAAAGAUAUUAAAAUUUUCAAUUUAAACCAUUAUGAUUUAAAACUCGAUGUAUAAUUUUGAGAUAUAAAGUGAUUUAAUUCUUUGAUAAAUUAUAACAUAUUUACAAAUUCGAUACUCAUUAACAAAUUAAUUUUACAUUAUAAGUUAAAUUAUUUUAUAAUUUUUGUUGAGAGAGAUCAAUUUGUUAAUUUUUAAAAUUAACAGGGACUAAAGGAGUAUGUACAUCAAUCUGUUGUUUGAAUUAUUCGAGUUUUUCAUUAUAAAAUUUAACUUGAAACUCGAAUUGUAAACAUUUUUAAUAAAUAUAAAACAUAAAAAAUAUUAAAAUAAAAUAAUAAUUAAAUAAUGAUAUAGAAAUGAAAAUAUUUCUCCAAAUUUCUCACCCAUAUAUGCUCUAAGGAAGUUUCAAAGCUGAAAUUUAAAUAUGUUUCUUUCAAAAGUGAAAAAUUCUACAUAUUUUAUUAUAAAAAAAAUUCACUCAUUGUGUCUAUCAAUCUAUAAUGUGACUUGACUUGUACACAGUGGUUGAACGUUGUUUUUGUGCAAUAAAAACUUAGACAUUUGCAUGCAAUGCCAAAGACGACCUAAGACUUAAAAGUCCUAUAAUAUUUCUAACUAUCAUUUUUUCUGGUCCAAAAUUAACCCUUUGAUAAAUCAUAACAUAUUUACAACUUGGAUACAAAUUAACAAAUUGAAUUUAUAUUAUAAGUUAAAUUUUAUUUUUUUGGUGCUAAAACAAAAUUUACUUAAAAAAAUAAAUGAUGUAGAAAUAAUUAUAUAUAACAUAAAAAAUGAUAAAAUUUACCUGAGUUUGAAAUAAUUUAAAGUUAAAAUAUUUGUAACAUCGAUUUUUGUUCCUAAAAAGUCCAUACCUAAAAUAUAUAAUUUAAACUCAAAAUAUCCGUUGAAUUAUUAUCUUUGCUCAUUCUAUGCGUAAUAAUGGUUCUAAUAGGGUUUAAAGUACAUUUUUAUUGCUAUAAUUUUGUCUUUUUAAUGACUUCGAUUUAGUAAGGCGUGGACAAGAAAACUACAACAUUGGCAUUAAUAAGUUAAUGAGAUUGAUAAAAUAUUAAAAUCUCACUCUUCAAAAUUAAAAUUAGCAAAAAAAGAAAGAGGUAAGGCAAAUUAAGUGUGAAUUUAACAACUUAUUUCUAAUACUAACAAUAAAUAAUUUAUGCAUCAUCACUAACAGCUUUAAAUAAUACAUUAUUAUCCCUUGCUUUUGUAUGUUGGAAAAAAUUGACCAAAAAGACUUAACUGAAGUGGUGGAACAGCAUUUUGAUGGAGUCUUGAUUUGGCAAAAUGACUUAGAAAUUGCAUGCAUUGCCAAUCACUCAUAAAUAAGUUGUAUGCCAAACACAAUCCUCCUUCACACCCACCCAACAUGAACACUCUUCAUUCCCUUAUUUCUUCACUCUCUCUCUUCUCAUGCUUCCUUCCUCUUCUCUUGUCUUUUUCACCUCCUCAAACUCAUCUCCCAAUGCAAUGCCCUGAUGACCAGAGAUCUCCUCUGCUGCAAUUGCAACAUCAUCUUUACUAUGCCCCUCAUUUUACUUUCUCUUCCAAAUUUGAGCUUUGGGAUCCCUACACUCAUUGCUGCUCUUGGAAAGGAGUCUCUUGUGAUGCUCUUGGUUAUGUCGUUGGCGUUGAUCUUAGUAAUAGAAACCUUUCCGGCAGUUUUCACUCCAUUUUCCGUCUCCGUCAUCUUCAACGCUUGAAUCUUUCUGGAAACUACUUUAAUACCACUUUGCUUUCUUAUGGGUUUCACAAACUCCAAAAUCUAACCCAUCUCAAUCUUUCAAGCUCAUGUUUCCAUGGCCAAAUUCCAGUGGAUAUCUCAUACUUAACGAGGUUAGUCUCUCUUGAUCUAUCUAAUCAAGAUUCUUGUUAUUCGCGAUACUACAUCAUUCUUGACCCAUAUAGAGGCGUCCGCAACUACUAUGAUCCAUUGCCUUACGAACUUCAACAGCCUCUUAAAUUAGAGAAACCAAACUUCAAGACAUUAAUCAAGAAUUUGAGGUUUCUCACAGAGCUUUAUUUGGAUGGGGUAAACAUUUCAACUCAAAGUGCUAAAUGGUGUGAAACCACAUCUCUUGUACUUUCCAACCUGCGUGUGUUGAGUCUGUCACACUGUGUUUUGAAAGGUCCAUUAUGUUCUUCACUCUCAAGACUCUCUUUUCUUUCCAACCUUAUCCUUGAUUGGAACCCAAUCUCUUAUUUACCUCCCAAUUUCUUGGAAAUUUCGUCUCAUUUGGUUUCUCUCAGUUUAAUGGGUUGCAAUUUGAGUGGCCAUUUUCCAACUGAAAUUCUCUUAUCGCCAAAAAUUCAAAGCAUUGACAUUUCAGCUAAUUACCAACUUAUGGGUCAGUUGCCAGAAUUUCCAGCAAACAAUGCUUUACAGAUUUUGUCACUUUUUUAUACAAAUUUCAGUGGAAAACUACCUGAGUCGAUUGGUAAUCUUAAGUUCCUGACAAACUUAGAGCUUUCUUAUUGUAAUUUUGCUGGACCCAUUCCAUCGUCAAUUGCAAAUCUUAGUCAACUGGUGAACUUGGAUCUAAGAUUAAAUGUUAUGGUUUCAUUAACGGUCACAUCUUUGUUUAUAUUUCUGUUAAGACUGUUAAAAUAAUACUUAGUUAAACGCUGCGUUUCAUUUAAGUGGCUUAGUGAUACGGUGAGUUUUACUUAGUCAAAACGGAUGCGUUUUGUCUAUUGCAGUAUAGCGGUUAUGGUUGUCCAUAUAUGAUUUGUGACCGAAAAGGAAAGGCAGGCAAUUUUGAAUCCUGUUUUCAGUCUCUAUUUCUUCCUACUGUUUUUUUUCUCUCUGAAUUUUCUCUCUUAUUCUCAUUUCAAUCCCGAUCUCAAUUUAUUCUUCAACAUUAAACAAGCUUUCUGGAUCAAUACAUUCUUCUUUAUUUACUCUUCCAUCGUUGAAGAUCUUGAAUCUUGGAGACAAUCAAUUGGUUGGGAAAAUUGAUGAGUUCCCCAAUGCAUCUUCUUCUUUGAUUGAAGUACUAUAUAUAGGCAAUAAUUAUUUAACAGGACCAAUCCCAAAGUCAAUCCUUCAACUUCCAAGGCUUGAAUGGCUUUAUAUCAAAAGCAAUAGCUUCAGUUCCAUGAAGCUUGACAUGUUUGUCCAACUUAAGAACUUAAAGCGUCUCUACUUAUCCAACGUAAGCUUGUUAAUUGAAAGCGACAACAGAAGUCUUACUUUUCCCCAAUUAGAGAGCCUAGGGCUAAGGUCAUGCAACCUUACUGAAUUUCCAGAAUUCAUUAAAAGGCAACACAAGUUGGUUCACUUAGAUCUUUCUAAUAACCAUACCCAUGGUUUUGUGCCCAAUUGGUUGUGGAAGAGCAGUCUUUCAUGGGUGGACCUUUCUUUCAAUGUGAUUGAUUUUCCAAAACAGCUUCCCUUAAAUGAUGCAAACUUCUCAUAUGUUGGCAGACUUGGAUUUGAGAUCCUGCAACAUAAGUGCGUUUCCAGAGUUCAUCAAAACACAAGACAAGUUGGUUGACUUAGAUCUUUCUAACAAUCAUAUCCAUGGUGUUGUGCCUCAUUGGUUCUGGAAGAGCAGCCUUUCAAGGGUAAACCUUUCUUUCAAUGUGAUUGAUUUUCCAAAACAGCUUCCCUUAAAUGAUGCAAACUUCUUAUUUCCAAUGUUGACAAGAUUGGAUUUGAGAUCCUGUAAUAUAAGUGCGUUUCCAGAGUUCUUAAAGAGUCAAAAAAAAUUUAGAAGAAUUCGACGCAUCUUAUAAAAAUUUGAGUGGCCCAAUUUCAAAUUGGUUAUGCAAUAUGAGUCUACUUUACACUUUCGAUGCAUCUUGUAACAAUUUGAGUGGCUCAAUUUCAAAUUGCUUGGUCAAUAUGAGUCAACUUGACACUUUCGAUGUAUCUUAUAACAAUUUGAGUGGCCCAAUUCCAAAUUGCUGGGGCAAUAUGAGUGCUCUGAUUUUGUUGCGUUUGCAAGGAAAUAACUUCAGUGGAAUGUUACCAAAAUUUUCAACAGCAACCCAACUGCAAUUUCUGAAAGUUAGUGAGAAUAGACUGGAAGGGAAGUUGCCUAGAUCAUUAGCUGAAUGCACUCAGCUUGAAGUUUUGGACGUGGGAAAGAACAAGAUGAAUGAUACAUUCCCUUUUUGGUUGGAGAAAUUGCCCUACUUGAGGGUUCUAAUAUUGCGGGAAAACAGAUUUUAUGGUCAAAUUAAACAUUUCAAACAUAAAUCUGUUUUCCCAACUUUGGAUGUCUGGGACAUUGCUUCAAACCAGUUUUCUGGUGAACUAUCCAUUGAUUUCCUUCAACCCACUCGACUAAGGUCACUCAAAAUAGGUGGGAAUAAAUUGGAAGGGAAGCUGUCGAGAUCAUUAGCCAAUUGCACAGCACUUGAGGUUCUGGACCUCGGAAAUAAUAUGGUUCAUGAUACAUUCCCAUUUUGGUUAGAGAAGCUACCUUCCUUGAAGGUUCUCGUUUUGCGAGCAAACAGAUUCUACGGCACAAUUUCAAAAAUCGACACGGAAUGUGGGUUUCCAAAGCUACGCAUAUUGGACAUUGCUUCCAACCAUUUUUCAGGUGACUUGUCCAUUGAAUUUUUGCAGAGUUUGAAGGCAAUGGCGAAGAUGACUAAUGACGAAAAGGCUAAGCGGGUUUACAUUGGGGACGUCUAUUAUAAAGACUCUGUGACAAUUGUUAACAGGGGGGUUGAACUAUUUUACCAAAAAAUCUGAACUGUUCUUACUUGUCUUGACCUUUCCAACAAUAGUUUCCAUGGGAGAAUACCAGAAGAGAUACAAAUGCUGAGGUCACUCAGAGUGAUGAACUUAUCCAACAAUGGCUUUUCUGGUGAAAUCCCAUUAGCACUUGAAAAUCUAAAAGAUCUUGAAUCUUUGGAUCUCUCACAGAAUGAGCUGUCAGGGAAGAUUCCUGCACAACUUACAAGUUUAACUUUCUUAGCAGCAUUGAACUUGUCUUACAACCAACUCGAAGGGAUUAUACCGCAAAGCAACCAAUUCAUUACAUUUACAAAUGAUUUUUACCGUGGGAACCCAAAAUUGUGUGGGCUGCCAUUGUCAAGGAAAUGCAAUGAAGUUGGUCUUCCAAUGCCACCACCUCCAGGGGAAGAUGAAGAUUCAUGGUUAUAUGCUGUGUCUACUUGGAAAAUUGCGUUGAUAGGUUAUGCUAGUGGAUUAGUGGUUGGGCUAUGUAUUGGAUAUACAGUGCUGAAUGAGUUGGGAAACAAAUGGGUUAACAAGUUCAAAAAGUGUGGUAAAAGAAAUAGAAGAAGAUGUAGGUGACUCCAUCAGAAUUCUUGCUUCAAAAUUAGCUGGUAAGCGUUUGUCUUUCUAAUUUGAACAGAUAGUUGUUGAUUUAUAUAUAUAGGUUUUCAUAACCUCAUUUUUUUGCUGUCUUUACUAAGUUCACUGUCAUAUCGUACUUGUAAUUUGAUGUUACCAUUGAGCAAUGCAGGAGGUACUU